GAUGAACGCUGGCGGCGUGCCUAAUACAUGCAAGUCGAGCGAACGGACGAGAAGCUUGCUUCUCUGAUGUUAGCGGCGGACGGGUGAGUAACACGUGGAUAACCUACCUAUAAGACUGGGAUAACUUCGGGAAACCGGAGCUAAUACCGGAUGAUAUUUUGAACCGCAUGGUUCAAAAGUGAAAGACGGUCUUGCUGUCACUUAUAGAUGGAUCCGCGCUGCAUUAGCUAGGUGGUAAGGUAACGGCUUACCAAGGCAACGAUGCAUAGCCGACCUGAGAGGGUGAUCGGCCACACUGGAACUGAGACACGGUCCAGACUCCUACGGGAGGCAGCAGUAGGGAAUCUUCCACAAUGGGCGAAAGCCUGACGGAGCAACGCCGCGUAAGUGAUGAAGGUCUUCGGAUCGUAAAACUCUGUUAUUAGGGAAGAACAUAUGUGUAAGUAACUGUGCACAUCUUGACGGUACCUAAUCAGAAAGCCACGGCUAACUACGUG
rnacentral:rRNA from 1 species